GGAAUAUUGCGCAAUGGGCGAAAGCCUGACGCAGCAACGCCGCGUGCGGGAUGAAGGCCUUCGGGUUGUAAACCGCUUUCAGCAGGGAAGAAGCGAAAGUGACGGUACCUGCAGAAGAAGCACCGGCUAACUACGUGCCAGCAGCCGCGGUAAUACGUAGGGUGCAAGCGUUGUCCGGAUUUAUUGGGCGUAAAGAGCUCGUAGGCGGUUAGUCACGUCGGAUGUGAAAACCCGGAGCUUAACUCCGGGCCUGCAUUCGAUACGGGCUGACUCGAGUGUUGUAGGGGAGACUGGAACUCCUGGUGUAGCGGUGAAAUGCGCAGAUAUCAGGAAGAACACCGGUGGCGAAGGCGGGUCUCUGGGCAACUACUGACGCUGAGGAGCGAAAGCGUGGGGAGCAAACAGGAUUAGAUACCCUGGUAGUCCACGCCGUAAACGGUGGGCGCUAGGUGUGGGGAACAUUCCACGUUCUCCGUGCCGCAGCUAACGCAUUAAGCGCCCCGCCUGGGGAGUACGGCCGCAAGGCUAAAACUCAAAGGAAUUGACGG
rnacentral:rRNA from 1 species